GUUAUAUUUUCUCUGAAUGUGACUAAAAAAAUCAGCAGAAGCUAAAAUUCACUCAUCUGAGUAUAUCCCUAUUCCAUGCACAUUUGAGA